rnacentral:rRNA from 1 species
UACGUAGGCAGCAAGCGUUGUUCGGAGUUACUGGGCGUAAAGGGUGCGUAGGCGGCUUCUUAAGUCUGGUGUGAAAUCUCCCGGCUCAACUGGGAGGGUGCGCCGGAUACUGAGGGGCUAGAGUGUGGGAGAGGAAAGUGGAAUUCCAGGUGUAGCGGUGAAAUGCGUAGAUAUCUGGAGGAACACCGGUGGUGUAAGCGGCUUUCUGGACCAUUACUGACGCUGAGGCGCGAAAGCUAGGGGAGCAAACAGG